rnacentral:rRNA from 1 species
UACGGGGGGCGCAAGCGUUGUCCGGAAUUAUUGGGCGUAAAGAGCUCGUAGGCGGUCUGUUACGUCUGCUGUGAAAACCCAGGGCUUAACCCUGGGCUUGCAGUGGAUACGGGCAGACUAGAGGCAGGUAGGGGAGAAUGGAAUUCCCGGUGUAGCGGUGAAAUGCGCAGAUAUCGGGAGGAACACCGGUGGCGAAGGCGGUUCUCUGGGCCUGACCUGGACGCUGAGGAGCGAAAGCGUGGGGAGCGAACAGG